GUGCAUCGAACUGCUGACGCUUCAUCCCUUUCAAUCCUUCCCCAAGUGAACCUUCUACUUGUGGGCUUGUGAGGUAUCCUGUGUUGCUUACCAUCGAGAUGGAAUUCGUUGGCUUUGUUACUUACAUUUGCCAUGUGCCUAUAUGGGUGUGAGGUGAACGUGAGGCGAGCUCUGUGUUCCCAGCAUGCCAAGUGCUUUGGCAUUUGGUUGUUGUGGCCCAUGGGGUCUUUGCUUGUUCUCUCGGAUGCGGAAUGUUGGGUGGACGUGAGGUCUUSACCUCGACUAGUCCAAGCACAAUCUUUUAACUCUGCUGCGCUUGUCUUGAUCUUCCCGACCGAGGCCUCAAAAUGGGGCUUACCGGACGAGGGUUGAACAAGCGGGUGUUAGCGUCUAAGAGUUUAAAAUCGGAAUGACAGCUGCGUCUGUAUUGAUCUUCCCGACCGAGGCCUCGUAGMGGGGCUUACCGGAUGAGGGUUGAACAUGCGGGCGUCAGCGUCAAAGAGGAUAGC
rnacentral:misc_RNA from 1 species